GAUGAAGAACGUAGCGAAAUGCGAUAAGUAGUGUGAAUUGCAGAAUUCAGUGAAUCAUCGAAUCUUUGAACGCACAUUGCGCCCCUUGGUAUUCCAUGGGGCAUGCCUGUUCGAGCGUCAUUUGUACCUUCAAGCUCUGCUUGGUGUUGGGUGUUUGUCUCGCCUCUGCGUGUAGACUCGCCUCAAAAUAAUUGGCAGCCGGCGUAUUGAUUUCGGAGCGCAGUACAUCUCGCGCUUUGCACUCAUAACGACGACGUCCAAAAGUACAUUUUUACACUCGUGACCUCGGAUCAGGUAGGGAUACCCGCUGAACUUAAGCAUAUCAAUAAGCGGAGGA
rnacentral:misc_RNA from 1 species